UACGAAGGGAGCUAGCGUUGUUCGGAAUCACUGGGCGUAAAGCGCACGUAGGCGGAUGUGUCAGUCAGGGGUGAAAUCCCGGAGCUCAACUUCGGAACUGCCCUUGAUACAGCACGUCUUGAGUCCGGAAGAGGUGAGUGGAAUUCCCAGUGUAGAGGUGAAAUUCGUAGAUAUUGGGAAGAACACCAGUGGCGAAGGCGGCUCACUGGGCCCGUAACUGACGCUGAGGUGCGAAAGCGUGG
rnacentral:rRNA from 1 species